GGGUAAACGGUGACGGAAGGAGAGCUGACUUGGGGGGGAGGACACAGUACAACAAACAGACGCUGUGUAUAGAAUUGUUCACCUGAACCUACAUAAUUGUAAUGUCACCCCAGUAAAUUCAAUUAAAAUUCAAUUAACACCGGGGUUUCUAAUUCCGGGGGUAGUGCUGGGGCGGUGGUGGGCAGACGCAGACUUAGUCGUGCCCCUGAGACUGGAGAGUCCGCGCAACUCCACGCGCGAUCAUUGCCUUUGACACCGGACGGGAGCGCGCAGCAGGGAAAGCCUGGGUGGGCGUGCGCGUGUGCCCUGUUCUUGUUCAGGUUGCUACACAGGACCUCCCGGGAGGCUCUCUGCCGCGGCAUCGAGAAUGCCCCCGUGCCCUCGCAUCUGCACCUUGGAGGGGGUGAUGCCUCGCGAUGGGCAUUUAAAGGGAAGGAAAUCUGGGCUGUUUUAAACAGCUGAGGUCGGAGCGUUUUAUUUGUCGCCAGAGCAGAUCUCUGUCACUUCCGAGGGAUGUGAAUGACAGGCUAUUUUACAUGCAAGAAGGAGAGGCCGAAGCCCCCUCGUUACAAGGUGAGGCUGUGUGGACGUGUGAGCAGUUGUGAGGAACCCGGGCACCUCAAAAACAAGCGAUUCUAUGCCCUCCCCAUCUUGUCUCUGUUCUUUCCCUUGUGGGCUGCUCUCUCGCCCGCCGACUGGUAAGUCUAACCCACAUUUAGCAGGAGGACAGUCCAGUUACAAGAGCCUUUUGCUCUAAGCCCCGUCUGGGCUCCCCACCAGCCUAUGGUUGGCUCCCUCUUAUGCCAGGAGCUCCCCCUGACCCAAUGGCCAUUCCCACACAAACUCCAGCUGCUCCCCUGGACUGGGAGCUCUGGGCCGGCAACACGAACCCUAAUGGGACCCUCUCAGCCUUGUACCAGGACAAUUUAUUUUUCACAGAAUUGUGAAAGUUCUACUUCACCAGAGGAAGUUCCAGUCCCUUGUGAAGUGCGAACAUGAGCUCCCUACAAGGCAUGUGCACGGGUGCCAAGAGGAGGAUGGCGGGGACCAGGGAGGGGUGAGUCCAGGAGCUCCAGCGCGCUCCUGGCUGUGGCACUGGACACUUGGCCCUGCAGUCCUUCUCAGUCCCCUGCUAAUUGCGAACAUGACCACUCUCCGCAGCUCCUUCCAGUGUCAGCUGUGGCGGGAAACGCUCACCUGCCCAGCCUGGUCUGCCACACUGCUUGCUGCCCGCCGUCCCGCCCCUUCCCUGCACGGCUUCCUCUCUGCCUUGCAUCUCUGACCAGAAGAAGUGGGUCUUGACGGGAAGGACCAGAGGACAGGGGCACCCCUGUGUCAGCUGUUUGCUUAGCUGGUUAUGGAAAGUUAGAGGCUGACCUACAGACGGGACUUCCAGGUCAGAAUUGUCCAAAGAUUUGUGUUUCCAGUUUCAAUUUCACAGAAAAUAGAACCUCGGGGUUCAGUUAGAAAAGUGGUAGCGGAUGACCCGCCACGCCUGGCAGUUGUGUCGCUGUGACCGCACAGGUACUGUGAAUGGAGAGCUGCUCACUACCCACCACGUUACCGCCGUCUGGGGCCUCAGGGAGAAAACCAGGAUUGAAUGUGCCCUCAUGUGUUUGUUUAUGAAGUAAGAAAAAGGAAAAGUCAAAUAUUCCCCUGCAAUGAGGGACUGAUGUUAUUUCUACAGAAAAAAUUCCUUCUUUUUGAAGCACCAUAUACAAAAUCAUAUGUUCAAUAGUACCAAGUACUUAUGGUUUUUCAACUCUUCUCAUAAAUUAAGGCGGAAAGAAAAUAUGUGAUUAGAGAACAUUGUUAAAAUUUGGGUUUUUGUCAAGACUCGUUCUUUGGGUACGUGUCAGGCAGAAGGCGCCCUCCGCUGACUGGGGCCUGGGACCCAGCCGGGCACCCCUCACAGCGUCGUGCUCCCGCUCUCAAACCCAUGAUCUCACCGAACAGGAGAAGAGGAGGCUCCGGCUCCAGUUAAAAGAAAGGAGUGAAAAGCGAACACAGGAGGAGGGCGUGUCUGCUCAGCCGCCGGGGAGACGGUCCUCCCUCCACGCUCACAGGCACGGUCCUCCCUCCACGCUCACAGGCACGGCUGCGGCCGGCAUUUUAGUGGACACUGGAGGGGAGACUCUGCCCCGAGGGCCGUCUUCCCAUGUGAGAGGCAAACUGUGCAGCACGCGUGUUACACGCGCGACGGCACAGAGGAAGGGAUGCCGAGGUCUGGGAGUCGGGGACGCCCGCGGUUCUGCAGCAAAGGCGACCCUUGAGCUGGAUGCUGGAAGGCGACCCCUUUGAAAGGGUCAUUCGACCCCCAAAGGGGUGGCGACCCACAGUUUGAGAACUGUGAGAUUGGGCAGGAGUCCCGGGGAGCAUGACCCAGCCUGUACCUGAGUUCAGACUUCUGGCCUCCAAAACUGUCUGAGAAGAAACCUCUGUAUUUUUUAAGCCACCCAGUUUUUGGCAAUUGGCUAUGGCAGCUGAAACUAAUGCACCUGCCUAACAAAAUCGGAUAAUGAAGAUAAAGAAGCUGAACAUGAAGAAUAAGGAUCGUUUCUUGUCUUGUAUGAAAUGCUGACAAGAGCACAGAGUGCUCAGACCAGCAGAAGGUGGGAGGCAGGAGCCAAGUUCCCGGGAUCUGAGGAGAGCGCCUGACAGGAGCUUGGACUGCAAAGAAGGAAGAGGAAGCAGCCACGGGGAGCUCUUCCAAUCCCCCUGCACAGACACCCUACCUCAGUCCCCGUACCCCCAGGGGGACAGCCAGACACCCUACCCCAGUCCCCAAACCCACAGGGGAACAGACAGACACCCUACCUCAGCCCCUGCACCUCAGGGGAACAGACGGACACCUACCCCAGCCCCCACACCGCUGGGGGGACAGACGGACACUCUACCCCAGCCCCUGUACCCCCAGGGAGACAGACGGACACCCUACCCAGCCCCCGCACCCCCAGGGGGACAGACGGGCACCCUACCUCAACCCCUGCACCCCCAGAGGGACAGACGGACACCCUACCCCAGCCCCCGCACCACUGGAGGGACAGACGGACACCCUACCCCAGCCCCUGCACCCCCAAGGGGACAGACUGACACCCUACCCCAGCCCCUGCACCUCCAGAGGGACAGGGGGACACCCUACCCCAGCCCCCGCACCCCUGAAGGGUCAGGUAAGCUGACCAGACAGGGAGAAGACCCAGCCUUGAGGUUAGCUGCAGCCCGCACCUCCGACUCCCGAUCUCUUCCCUGUCACCCCCGCCAGGGGCGCCCACAACAAUAUCACGCAGUCAAACACCCGUCAGCGCCCCGAGGCACCCAGGUCUGCACUCCGCCACUGCUGGGCCCUCUCCGCUGGGGCAGACACUCAAUGCAGAAGCUGCCCCCUGAUGGUCAGUGUGCAGCACUGCUCAGCCUGAAGCCGGACUCACAGCUGGUGAGCACAGCGGCAGUGGUGCGACCCUCUCCCACCUCGGUGGCAAUGCUAAGGAUGUCUGACUGAUGGCUUAGGCCCAUUAAGUGAUCAGUCAGACAUCCUCCCAGGUCUCCCAGACUGUGCCAGGGCGCAGGCCAGGCUAAGGGAUCCCCCCCAAGUGCAUGAAUUUCAUGCACUGUGCCUCUAGUGCAGCCGUGGGCAAACUAUGGCCCGCGGGCCGG